UACCAGCACCCCGAGUGGUCGGGACGUUUAUUGGGCCUAAAGCAUCCGUAGCCGGUUCUACAAGUCUUCCGUUAAAUCCACCUGCUCAACAGUUGGGCUGCGGAGGAUACUAUAGAGCUAGGAGGCGGGAGAGGCAAGCGGUACUUAGUGGGUAGGGGUAAAAUCCGUUGAUCCAUUGAAGACCACCAGUGGCGAAGGCGGCUUGCCAGAACGCACUCGACGGUGAGGGAUGAAAGCUGGGGGAGCAAACCGG
rnacentral:rRNA from 1 species